GGGCCUAUAGCUCAGCUGGUUAGAGCGCACGCCUGAUAAGCGUGAGGUCGGAGGUUCAAGUCCUCCCAGGCCCACCA
rnacentral:tRNA from 1 species